rnacentral:rRNA from 1 species
GACGAACGCGGCGGCGUGCCUAAUACAUGCAAGUCGAACGCUUCUUUCCUCCCGAGUGCUUGCGCUCAAUUGGAAAGAGGAGUGGCGGACGGGUGAGUAACACGUGGGUAACCUACCCAUCAGAGGGGGAUAACACUUGGAAACAGGUGCUAAUACCGCAUAACAGUUUAUGCCGCAUGGCAUAAGAGUGAAAGGCGCUUUCGGGUGUCGCUGAUGGAUGGACCCGCGGUGCAUUAGCUAGUUGGUGAGGUAACGGCUCACCAAGGCCACGAUGCAUAGCCGACCUGAGAGGGUGAUCGGCCACACUGGGACUGAGACACGGCCCAGACUCCUACGGGAGGCAGCAGUAGGGAAUCUUCGGCAAUGGACGAAAGUCUGACCGAGCAAACGCCGCGUGAGUGAAGAAGGUUUUUCGGAUUC